rnacentral:rRNA from 1 species
CCUACGGGUGGCUGCAGUGGGGAAUUUUGGACAAUGGGGGCAACCCUGAUCCAGCCAUGCCGCGUGAGUGAAGAAGGCCUUCGGGUUGUAAAGCUCUUUCGGCCGGGAAGAAAUCGCCCAAGCUAAUACCUUGGGUGGAUGACGGUACCGGAAGAAGAAGCACCGGCUAACUACGUGCCAGCAGCCGCGGUAAUACGUAGCGUGCGAGCGUUAAUCGGAGCUACCGGACGUAAAGCGUGCGCAGACGGGGGAAAUCCCCGGGCUUAACCUGGGAACUGCGUUUGUGACUGUGGUGCUCGAGUGCGGCAGAGGGGGGUGGAAUUCCACGUGUAGCAGUGAAAUGCGUAGAGAUGUGGAGGAACACCGAUGGCGAAGGCAGCCCCCUGGGUCGACACUGACGCUCAUGCACGAAAGCGUGGGGAGCAAACAGGAUUAGAUACCCGGGUAGUC